AUUGAACGCUGGCGGAAUACUUUACACAUGCAAGUCGAACGGCAGCACGGGGCAACCUGGUGGCGAGUGGCGAACGGGUGAGUAAUACAUCGGAACGUGCCCAAUCGUGGGGGAUAACGUAGCGAAAGUUACGCUAAUACCGCAUACGAUCUACGGAUGAAAGCGGGGGAUCGCAAGACCUCGCGCGAAUGGAGCGGCCGAUGUCAGAUUAGGUAGUUGGUGGGGUAAAGGCUCACCAAGCCAACGAUCUGUAGCUGGUCUGAGAGGACGACCAGCCACACUGGAACUGAGACACGGUCCAGACUCCUACGGGAGGCAGCAGUGGGGAAUUUUGGACAAUGGGCGCAAGCCUGAUCCAGCCAUUCCGCGUGCAGGAUGAAGGCC
rnacentral:rRNA from 1 species